rnacentral:rRNA from 1 species
UGGGGAAUAUUGGACAAUGGGCGAAAGCCUGAUCCAGCAACGCCGCGUGAGGGAUGACGGCCUUCGGGUUGUAAACCUCUUUCAGCAGGGACGAAGCGCAAGUGACGGUACCUGCAGAAGAAGCACCGGCCAACUACGUGCCAGCAGCCGCGGUAAUACGUAGGGUGCGAGCGUUGUCCGGAAUUAUUGGGCGUAAAGGGCUCGUAGGCGGUUUGUCGCGUCGGGAGUGAAAACUCAGGGCUUAACCCUGAGCCUGCUUCCGAUACGGGCAGACUAGAGGUAUGCAGGGGAGAACGGAAUUCCUGGUGUAGCGGUGAAAUGCGCAGAUAUCAGGAGGAACACCGGUGGCGAAGGCGGUUCUCUGGGCAUUACCUGACGCUGAGGAGCGAAAGUGUGGGGAGCGAACAGGAUUAGAUACCCUGGUAGUCCACACCGUAAACGUUGGGCGCUAGGUGUGGGACUCAUUCCACGAGUUCCGUGCCGCAGCUAACGCAUUAAGCGCCCCGU